CCUACGGGAGGCAGCAGUAGGGAAUCUUCCACAAUGGGCGAAAGCCUGAUGGAGCAACGCCGCGUGGGUGAAGAAGGUCUUCGGAUCGUAAAACCCUGUUGUUAGAGAAGAAAGUGCGUGAGAGUAACUGUUAACGUUUCGACGGUAUCUAACCAGAAAGCCACGGCUAACUACGUGCCAGCAGCCGCGGUAAGACGUAGGUGGCAAGCGUUAUCCGGAUUUAUUGGGCGUAAAGGGCACGCAGGCGGUCUUUUAAGUCUGAUGUGAAAGCCGUCGGCUUAACCGGAGUAGGGCAUUGGAAACUGGGAGACUUGAGUGCAGAAGAGGAGAGUGGAACUCCAUGUGUAGCGGUGAAAUGCGUAGAUAUAUGGAAGAACACCAGUGGCGAAAGCGGCUCUCUGGUCUGUAACUGACGCUGAGGUUCGAAAGCGUGGGUAGCAAACAGGAUUAGAUACCCCAGUAGUC
rnacentral:rRNA from 1 species